rnacentral:rRNA from 1 species
AGAGUUUGAUCCUGGCUCAGAAUCAACGCUGGCGGCGUGCCUAACACAUGCAAGUCGAACGAGAAAGGGGAGCAAUCCCUGAGUAAAGUGGCGACCGGGUGAGUAACACGUGACCAAUCUACCCUGGAGUGGGGGAUAACCUCGGGAAACCGGGGCUAAUACCGCAUAACAUCCCUGGAUCGGAAGAACUGGGGAUCAAAGGAGCAAUUCGCUUGAGGAGGAGGUCGCGGCUGAUUAGCUAGUUGGCGGGGUAAUGGCCCACCAAGGCGAAGAUCGGUAGCCGGCCUGAGAGGGCGCACGGCCACACUGGAACUGAAACACGGUCCAGACUCCUACGGGAGGCAGCAGUGGGGAAUUUUGCGCAAUGGGGGAAACCCUGACGCAGCAACGCCGCGUGGAGGAUGAAGUCCCUUGGGACGUAAACUCCUUUCGACCCGGACGAUAAUGACGGUACGGGUGGAAGAAGCCCCGGCUAACUUCGUGCCAGCAGCCGCGGUAAUACGAGGGGGGCGAGCGUUGUUCGGAAUUAUUGGGCGUAAAGGGCGCGUAGGCGGUGCGGUAAGUCACCUGUGAAAUCUCUGGGCUCAACUCAGAGCUUGCAGGCGAAACUGCCGUGCUCGAGGGUGG